CUGCUGUCCCAGGUCAAUAAAGUCUAAGAUGAAAAAACAGAAUGACAUCAGCUUAGCCAUCUGAGCUUAGAAGCCGCUUGUCCUCUGCCCUGGUGUUUUGCUGUCUUUUACAGAGUUGUGUGUGCGCUGUGGCUGGGAGGACGUGCACAUGACAGGGACCCUCCUGGCUUCAAUCCUGAAGGAUGAAAAAUCUACAAGUGGUUUGCUGCUGACACUGAUUCAGGGACUCGGCAAUGUUAAAACUUUGAUGGCCAUAGGAAGGCUCCUGCAGCCCAGUUCUCAUUGCAGCAAGAAGAAAGAAGUUUUGUUUGGCUGAACUGUGUCACAUGGCCAUUCCAAACCAGAGGAGAAACUAGGGAAGAAGUUAGAAGCAGGGUCAGAUCAUCCAAGCAGCAAUGUCUGCCACAUCAAACUUCUGGUAGCUAAUCUUCAUAAUAUAAUCUCUUGAGAAGACUUCCCUUCCCUUGUAUUUCAAAAUAUUGGAAAAAAGAGGGAUGUGUGUGUGUGUGUGUGUGUGUGUGUGUGUGUGUGUGUGUGUGUGAAAAUACCUAUGAUAU
rnacentral:lncRNA from 1 species